rnacentral:rRNA from 1 species
UUAAGCGACUAAGCGUACACGGUGGAUGCCCUGGCAGUCAGAGGCGAUGAAGGACGUGCUAAUCUGCGAAAAGCGUCGGUAAGGUGAUAUGAACCGUUAUAACCGGCGAUGUCCGAAUGGGGAAACCCAGUGCAAUUCGUUGCACUAUCGUUAACUGAAUACAUAGGUUAACGAGGCGAACCGGGGGAACUGAAACAUCUAAGUACCCCGAGGAAAAGAAAUCAACCGAGAUUCCCCCAGUAGCGGCGAGCGAACGGGGAGCAGCCCAGAGUCUGAAUCAGCUUGUGUGUUAGUGGAACGGUCUGGAAAGUCCGACGGUACAGGGUGAUAGUCCCGUACACCAAAAUGCACAGGUUGUGAACUCGAAGAGUAGGGCGGGACACGUGGUAUCCUGUCUGAAUAUGGGGGGACCAUCCUCCAAGGCUAAAUACUCCUGACUGACCGAUAGUGAACCAGUACCGUGAGGGAAAGGCGAAAAGAACCCCGGCGAGGGGAGUGAAAAAGAACCUGAAACCGUGUACGUACAAGCAGUGGGAGCACCUUCGGGUGUGACUGCGUACCUUUUGUAUAAUGGGUCAGCGACUUAUAUUCUGUAGCAAGGUUAACCGUAUAGGGGAGCCGCAGGGAAACCGAGUCUUAACUGGGCGUUAAGUUGCAGGGUAUAGACCCGAAACCCGGUGAUCUAGCCAUGGGCAGGUUGAAGGUUGGGUAACACUAACUGGAGGACCGAACCGACUAAUGUUGAAAAAUUAGCGGAUGACUUGUGGCUGGGGGUGAAAGGCCAAUCAAACCGGGAGAUAGCUGGUUCUCCCCGAAAGCUAUUUAGGUAGCGCCUCGUGAAUUCAUCUUCGGGGGUAGAGCACUGUUUCGGCUAGGGGGUCAUCCCGACUUACCAACCCGAUGCAAACUACGAAUACCGAAGAAUGUUAUCACGGGAGACACACGGCGGGUGCUAACGUCCGUCGUGAAGAGGGAAACAACCCAGACCGCCAGCUAAGGUCCCAAAGUCAUGGUUAAGUGGGAAACGAUGUGGGAAGGCACAGACAGCCAGGAUGUUGGCUUAGAAGCAGCCAUCAUUUAAAGAAAGCGUAAUAGCUCACUGGUCGAGUCGGCCUGCGCGGAAGAUGUAACGGGGCUAAACCAUGCACCGAAGCUGCGGCAGCGACACUAUGUGUUGUUGGGUAGGGGAGCGUUCUGUAAGCCUGCGAAGGUGACCUGUGAGGGUUGCUGGAGGUAUCAGAAGUGCGAAUGCUGACAUAAGUAACGAUAAAGCGGGUGAAAAGCCCGCUCGCCGGAAGACCAAGGGUUCCUGUCCAACGUUAAUCGGGGCAGGGUGAGUCGACCCCUAAGGCGAGGCCGAAAGGCGUAGUCGAUGGGAAACAGGUUAAUAUUCCUGUACUUGGUGUUACUGCGAAGGGGGGACGGAGAAGGCUAUGUUAGCCGGGCGACGGUUGUCCCGGUUUAAGCAUGUAGGCUGGUUGUCCAGGCAAAUCCGGAUAAUCAAGGCUGAGGUGUGAUGACGAGGCACUACGGUGCUGAAGUAACAAAUGCCCUGCUUCCAGGAAAAGCCUCUAAGCAUCAGGUAACAUUAAAUCGUACCCCAAACCGACACAGGUGGUCAGGUAGAGAAUACCAAGGCGCUUGAGAGAACUCGGGUGAAGGAACUAGGCAAAAUGGUGCCGUAACUUCGGGAGAAGGCACGCUGGUGUGUAGGUGAAGUCCCUGCGGAUGGAGCUGAGACCAGUCGAAGAUACCAGCUGGCUGCAACUGUUUAUUAAAAACACAGCACUGUGCAAACACGAAAGUGGACGUAUACGGUGUGACGCCUGCCCGGUGCCGGAAGGUUAAUUGAUGGGGUUAUCCGUAAGGAGAAGCUCUUGAUCGAAGCCCCGGUAAACGGCGGCCGUAACUAUAACGGUCCUAAGGUAGCGAAAUUCCUUGUCGGGUAAGUUCCGACCUGCACGAAUGGCGUAAUGAUGGCCAGGCUGUCUCCACCCGAGACUCAGUGAAAUUGAACUCGCUGUGAAGAUGCAGUGUACCCGCGGCAAGACGGAAAGACCCCGUGAACCUUUACUAUAGCUUGACACUGAACAUUGAGCCUUGAUGUGUAGGAUAGGUGGGAGGCUUUGAAGCGUGGACGCCAGUCUGCGUGGAGCCAACCUUGAAAUACCACCCUUUAAUGUUUGAUGUUCUAACGUUGGCCCCUGACCGGGGUUGCGGACAGUGUCUGGUGGGUAGUUUGACUGGGGCGGUCUCCUCCCAAAGCGUAACGGAGGAGCACGAAGGUUAGCUAAUCCUGGUCGGACAUCAGGAGGUUAGUGCAAUGGCAUAAGCUAGCUUGACUGCGAGCGUGACGGCGCGAGCAGGUGCGAAAGCAGGUCAUAGUGAUCCGGUGGUUCUGAAUGGAAGGGCCAUCGCUCAACGGAUAAAAGGUACUCCGGGGAUAACAGGCUGAUACCGCCCAAGAGUUCAUAUCGACGGCGGUGUUUGGCACCUCGAUGUCGGCUCAUCACAUCCUGGGGCUGAAGUAGGUCCCAAGGGUAUGGCUGUUCGCCAUUUAAAGUGGUACGCGAGCUGGGUUUAGAACGUCGUGAGACAGUUCGGUCCCUAUCUGCCGUGGGCGCUGGAGAAUUGAGGGGGGCUGCUCCUAGUACGAGAGGACCGGAGUGGACGCAUCACUGGUGUUCGGGUUGUCAUGCCAAUGGCACUGCCCGGUAGCUAAAUGCGGAAGAGAUAAGUGCUGAAAGCAUCUAAGCACGAAACUUGCCCCGAGAUGAGUUCUCCCUGAGACUUUAAGUCUCCUGAAGGAACGUUGAAGACGACGACGUUGAUAGGCCGGGUGUGUAAGCGCAGCGAUGCGUUGAGCUAACCGGUACUAAUGAACCGUGAGGCUUAACCUU